GCUAAGUCUACUUUCACGGUCUAUCCAUUUUAAAUCUCUCACGCUUCUCCUCUUCCCCACUAUCUGCAUCCAUAAUUGUUUUGUCUACAUAAGAGCAUCCCCAUUAGUGAACCCCCUUUUGGGGUUCAAAAGAAUUUUUUAAUAUAUUUCUGGUUAAACCUGUAUAUUUUUUGCUCUUCCAUUAGUGAACUUGAAGAUGAGGUUCUUAGGAAUAAAAAAAAUUAUAAUAUUUUUUAAAAGUUUUUAUUCAAUACAAUGAGAAUUCAUGAACAUACAAAGAUUAUUCAUCUUGAUUACCAAACUUUUGCCAUAUAUUUUCGACUAAAUCAGCUUGCAAACGAGCAUGUAUCCGUUGAUCCCGAAUUUGAUUGUGAAUGCCAAGCAUAUUACCGAUAUUGGAAAGGAUGUGCGUAGAGUACGAAAAAUCAACUUGGGAACUUCUGCUCGACUCUCCUGCUACGAAGUCAGAUGUUCAAGAGGUUUUACAUGAGAUAGAACAAGUUUGGUAUUAGAAGAGAUGGAAUUUUGGUUAAGUGUUUUUGAAAAAAAAAAAUUGUGAUAGAACUAGUAUACAAGUACAGAGACAAUAUUACAAGAGAGAAAGGAACUACAAGGUUUUAGAUUCAGAGAUAAUUGAUAGAAGAAAAGAGAGACAUAUUUUAUAUAGAGUG
rnacentral:lncRNA from 1 species